rnacentral:rRNA from 1 species
CAAUAGCGUAUAUUAAAGUUGUUGCGGUUAAAAAGCUCGUAGUUGGAUUUCUGCUGAGAACGACCGGUCCGCCCUUUGGGUGUGUAUCUGGCUCUUUCUUGGCAUCUUCUUGGUGAACGUUGCUGCACUUGACUGUGUGGAGCGCUACCCAGGACUUUUACUUUGAGGAAAUUAGAGUGUUUCAAGCAGGCAUACGCCUUGAAUACAUUAGCAUGGAAUAAUAAGAUAGGACCUCGGUUCUAUUUUGUUGGUUUCUAGAGCUGAGGUAAUGAUUAAUAGGGAUAGUUGGGGGCAUUCGUAUUUAACUGUCAGUGGUGAAAUUCUUGGAUUUGUUAAAGACGGACUACUGCGAAAGCAUUUGCCAAGGAUGUUUUCAUUGA